GGGGAUUAUUGGGGCGUAAAGCGCGCGCAGGCGGCCUGUUCAGUCGGAUGUGAAAGACCACGGCUCAACCGUGGGGUGGCAUCCGAAACUGGCGGGCUUGAGUACAGGAGAGGAGAGUGGAAUUCCCGGUGUAGCGGUGGAAUGCGUAGAGAUCGGGAGGAACACCAGUGGCGAAGGCGGCUCUCUGGCCUGUAACUGACGCUGAGGCGCGAAAGCGUGGGUAGCGAACAGGAUUAGAUACCCUGGUAGUCCACGCCGUAAACGACGAGUGCUAGGUGUUGGGGGUUUCCGCCCUCUGUGCCGAAGGUAACCCAAUAAGCACUCCGCCUGGGGAGUACGGCCGCAAGGCUGAAACUCAAAGGAAUUGACGGGGGCCCGCACAAGCGGUGGAGCAUGUGGUUUAAUUCGAAGCAACGCGAAGAACCUUACCAGGUCUUGACAUCCCGCUGAUCGGUGUAGAGAUAUGCCUUUCCUUCGGGACAGCGGUGACAGGUGGUGCAUGGUUGUCGUCAGCUCGUGUCGUGAGAUGUUGGGUUCGGUCCCGCAACGAGCGCAACCCUUGUCGUCAGUUGCCAGCACGUAAAGGUGGGCACUCUGGCGAGACGGCCGGUGAAAGCCGGAGGAAGGUGGGGAUGACGUCAAAUCAUCAUGCCCCUUAUGUCCUGGGCUACACACGUGCUACAAUGGCCGGUACAACGGGUAGCGAACCCGCGAGGGGGAGCCAAUCCAAAAAACCGGUCUCAGUUCGGA
rnacentral:rRNA from 1 species